GAACUGAGGUGAAGUAAGCCGAUUAAAGGGUUUCUCCCUUCCUUCCGGUUUUCGGUCUUUGCAGGUCCCAGUGGAGAAACUUCCCGGGUGUCUGGUGCCGGUGCCAAAAGUUAGCAGCGAGUCUACGGAAAACCCGGUGUCUCGGGUGAGAAAAGUCACUCUUUAGGCCCCGACGUCUAUUCAGGCCGGUCAAAGUCUCUGUGUGAGGAGAGGAGAUGUCGGCAACGGGGAACGAAGCAGAUUGAACGUUUCCAGCGAGCAGCCCCAGCAGCAGAAAUUGUCCGGAGGGAAUUUGUUACACUGUCCCCGAACAACGUCGCAAACAUGGUGUCCAUACGAAGACGGCCCACACAUUGUGCGUUGCACAGUCAACAAGUCCUCAUCAUGAAACAACCUCGUGUUUUGAAAAGGCGAGUAUGGGGGGGGGGGGAGUAUUGUAGGAGACCGCUCGGUGGGAAGAGCCUAAAGCCGGAGCUGCUGGUCAGGCUUUAGUAAUGAAUUGGUCUCCCCGUAACCACCAUUGCAGCCUGCAAACCAGCAGUUUCUCCUUUUUCAUCCAAAGCGAUGCGUCCGAGACACUUGCACCAGGCGCCGCCCUGUACGAGGACGGAUUCUGGUUCACGAGACGAUAAUUCGUGGCAGUAUAAUUGUUUAUUGAACCACGAUGAAUAUCACUCAGACACAGGUUGGUUUCAUUAAAAAAAAAAGUAUUUUAUUUCACUUCUUUGU